GCUACACCCGGAAGCCUCUCCAGGGAGAGGAAGCCGGCGGCCUCACCGCUAUGGGCCGCAACAAGAAGAAGCAGCGAGAUGGCGACGACCGGCGGCCCAGGCUCGUUCUUAGCUUCGACGAGGAGAAGAGGCGGGAGUACCUGACAGGCUUCCACAAGCGGAAGGUUGAGCGAAAGAAGGCAGCCAUUGAGGAGAUUAAGCAGCGGCUGAAAGAGGAGCAGAGGAAGCUCCGGGAGGAGGUGCGCAGGGGGAAGAUGGGAGGGAGGUCUUUGAUUCUUAGGGCACUUGCAGCCUUGGAUUUCCCUAAUAGAGGCAGCUGCUGGCAUGGGGCGGUAUGUGUGUGGGCAGGACUGGGGAACAGUUUAUACAGGUGGAGACUCCAUGGGCCCGGGUCUGGGAGUGAUGGAAGAUGGAGUCUCCUCCUGAUCUUGCAGUAUGGAUCAUGGUCUCCCUCACCCUGGGGGUGAUUAAUACCCCAGCCUGAGGUUGGACUAAGAGGCCAUACUCACUGCGGUCCCUGCCC
rnacentral:sRNA from 1 species